UAGAGUAGAUCCUGGCUCAGGCUGGAUCACCUCCUUAGAGUUUGAUCCUGGCUCACGGCUGGGUCACCUCCUUAGAGUUUGAGCCCGUCUCUGGGGGACAAGCCCUGGAAACGGGGUCUAAUACCGGAUAACACUCUGUCCCGCAUGGGACGGGGUUAAAAGCUCCGGCGGUGAAGGAUGAGCCCGCGGCCUAUCAGCUUGUUGGUGGGGUAAUGGCCUACCAAGGCGACGACGUUGGUAGCCGGCCUGAGAGGGCGACCGGCCACACUGGGACUGAGACUAACGGCCCAGACUCCCCGCCUACGGGAGGCAGCAGUGGGGAAUAUUGCACAAUGGGCGAAAGCCUGAUGCAGCGACGCCGCGUGAGGGGAUGACGGCCUUCGGGUUGUAAACCUCUUUCAGCAGGGAAGAAGCGAAAGUGACGGUACCUGCAGAAGAAGCGCCGGCUAACUACGUGCCAGCAGCCGCGGUAAUACGUAGGGCGCAAGCGUUGUCCGGAAUUAUUGGGCGUAAAGAGCUCGUAGGCGGCUUGUCACGUCGGAUGUGAAAGCCCGGGGCUUAACCCCGGGUCUGCAUUCGAUACGGGCUAGCUAGAGUGUGGUCAGGGGAGAUCGGAAUUCCUGGUGUAGCGGGUGAAAUGCGCAGAUAUCAGGAGGAACACCGGUGGCGAAGGCGGAUACUCUGGGCCAUUACUGACGCUGAGGAGCGAAACGCGUGGGGAGCGAACAGGAUUAGAUACCCUGGUAGUCCACGCCGUAAACGUUGGGAACUAGGUGUUGGCGACAUUCGCACGUCGUCGGUGCCGCAGCUAACGCAUUAAGUUCCCCGCCUGGGGAGUACGGCCGCAAGGCUAAAACUCAAAGGACAUUGACUUGGGGGCCCGCACAAGCAGCGGAGCAUGUGGCUUGAAUUCGACGCAACGCGAAGAACCUUACCAAGGUUUGACAUAUACCGGAAAGCAGCAGAGAUGGUGCCCCCCUUGUGGUCGGUAUACAGGUGGUGCAUGGCUGUCGUCAGCUCGUGUCGUGAGAUGUUGGGUUAAGUCCCGCAACGAGCGCAACCCUUGUUCUGUGUUGCCAGCAUGCCCUUCGGGGUGAUGGGGACUCACAGGAGACUGCCGGGGUCAACUCGGAGGAAGGUGGGGACGACGUCAAGUCAUCAUGCCCCUUAUGUCUUGGGCUGCACACGUGCUACAAUGGCCGGUACAAUGAGCUGCGAUGCCGCGAGGCGGAGCGAAUCUCAAAAAGCCGGUCUCAGUUCGGAUUGGGGUCUGCAACUCGACCCCAUGAAGUCGGAGUUGCUAGUAAUCGCAGAUCAGCAUUGCUGCGGUGAAUACGUUCCCGGGCCUUGUACACACCGCCCGUCACGUCACGAAAGUCGGUAACACCCGAAGCCGGUGGCCCAACC
rnacentral:rRNA from 2 species